AUGACCUCAGUUUGGCCAGCUAUACUCUCUCCCAGAACCCUGAAUCUUGAUAGCAGAUGGAAUAAGUAUUCUGCGGCGCACCCACACCAGGCCAGGCAGCAUCCUCUGCUCUGUGUUCUUGCCACAUCUGUCAUCCAAUCCUUUGCGCACUCCCUUCCUUAUCAGUUAAAAACCCCCUUUGCUUAAGCAGGGCAGAGUCAUUUUCUGUUGCUGACAGCCAAAGAAUCUUAAGCAAGAGAAUCCACGAGCUUUUCAUCACUCUGUACAUCUGCCGAAGAUCCUCAAUCUGCCGUGCUGAUCGCUGCCUCAACACCUGGUAUCGUGCUCCUUCCCACACAUCAGGAAAACUGAAAACAGAAGGCAGGAGAACCACCCAAGCUCCUAUUAAAGAACUGUCCAUAGCAAAAGCAACCUACAUAUCGUCGCUGAAUGUGGAAAAAGAAAGGACUUAUGAAAAACAAGCACACUGAGGAGGGGAGGAGGCCCAGGGGGAACCGAGCUUGCACAGGCAUUAAAGUCCACAUGGGAUCUGGUUCACAUGAGCACUCAGCAUGCCCUGGAAGAGCACAGGGUCACAAAAGGUCAACCAGAAGAGAAUGGAGAGGGAACGGAUCUUGGAUGUCAAGAGGACCGGAAGAGUUCCACAGAAGAUGAUGAUGCUUGGAUGGACACCUCCACUUAGGAAUGUCUUUUCUUGAGAAUAGGGUUCCUAGCGAGCUGAAGCCUGAGAAAGGUGGGGACAUAGUCACAUCUGCACGACCAGGAGCUGUGAAAACUAGGUCAUUGAUCUGAGCCAGGAUCUGCCAUGCCCCCAGUGUGACUGCUGGUAAUAGAACCUAGCUUCAGAUUAGGGCCCAGAUGGGCCCCAAAACAAACAG